UAGGGAAUAUUGCAAAAUGGGCGAAAGCCCGAUGCAGCAACGCCGCGUGGGCGAUGAAGGCCUUCGGGUCGUAAAGCCCUUUUUGAGGGGAUGAGGAAGGACAGUACCCUCAGAAUAAGCCUCGGCUAACUACGUGCCAGCAGCCGCGGUAAAACGUAGGAGGCGAGCGUUAUCCGGAUUUACUGGGCGUAAAGCGCGUGCAGGCGGAUUGGAGAGUUGGAUGUGAAAGCUCCCGGCUUAACUGGGAGAGGUCGUUCAAUACUUCCAGUCUUGAGUGCAGUAGAGGGAAGCGGAAUUCCGGGUGUAGUGGUGAAAUGCGUAGAUAUCCGGAGGAACACCAGUGGCGAAAGCGGCUUCCUGGACUGUAACUGACGCUCAGACGCGAAAGCUAGGGUAGCAAACG
rnacentral:rRNA from 1 species